GACGAACGCUGGCGGCGUGCUUAACACAUGCAAGUCGAACGGAAAGGCCCUGCUUUUGUGGGGUGCUCGAGUGGCGAACGGGUGAGUAACACGUGAGUAACCUGCCCUUGACUUUGGGAUAACUUCAGGAAACUGGGGCUAAUACAGGAUAGGAGAUCCUGCUGCAUGGUGGGGGUUGGACAGUUUCGGCGGUUGGGGAUGGACUCGCGGCUUAUCAGCUUGUUGGUGGGGUAGUAGCUUACCAAGGCUUUGACGGGUAGCCGGCCUGAGAGGGUGACCGGCGACAUUGGGACUGAGAUACGGCCCAGACUCCUACGGGAGGCAGCAGUGGGGAAUAUGGCACAAUGGGCGGAAGCGUGAUGCAGCGACGCCGCGUGCGGGAUGACGGCCUUCGGGUUGUAAACCGCUUUCGCCUGUGACGAAGCGUGAGUGACGGUAAUGGGUAAAGAAGCACCGGCUAACUACGUG
rnacentral:rRNA from 1 species